rnacentral:rRNA from 1 species
UACGUAGGGUGCAAGCGUUGUUCGGAAUUACUGGGCGUAAAGGGCUCGUAGGCGGCCAACUAAGUCAGACGUGAAAUCCCCAGGCUCAACCUGGGAACUGCGUCUGAUACUGGAUGGCUUGAAUCCGGGAGAGGGAUGCAGAAUUCCAGGUGUAGCGGUGAAAUGCGUAGAUAUCUGGAGGAAUACCGGUGGCGAAGGCGACACCCUGGACCAGCACUGACACUGAGGCACGAAAGCGUGGGGAGCAAACAGG